rnacentral:rRNA from 1 species
ACUCAAAGGAAUUGACGGGGGCCCGCACAAGCGGUGGAGCAUGUGGUUUAAUUCGAAGCAACGCGAAGAACCUUACCAGGUCUUGACAUCCUCUGACAACCCUAGAGAUAGGGCUUCCCCUUCGGGGCAGAGUGACAGGUGGUGCAUGGUUGUCGUCAGCUCGUGUCGUGAGAUGUUGGGUUAAGUCCCGCAACGAGCGCAACCCUUGAUCUUAGUUGCCAGCAUUCAGUUGGGCACUCUAAGGUGACUG